CAGCAUCGAUUUUCUUAAUUCUUUCUCUCUCUUCCUUCGAUUUUCUUCCUCUUCCUGCAAAUUAUCGUUAUUUUCUCUCCCCUCUCGUUUUCUUCGCCUCUUAUGCCAAUCUUUGAAGAUCAAAUUUGUCCAUCAUUCUCGCAAAAAGCGGUGGUAUUGUAAGUUAAUUUUGUGUAUUUGGUUCAGUUACAUUUCCGAUUGAAAUUGAUGUAUUUGAUUUAAGUUUUCGAUUUGAUUUUGCUCGAAUUUGGGGGUUUGAUUUUGUUGAAUUAGGUUCAUCAUGGGAAUUCAUAUGAUUUCUUUGACUUAGUAGCUCGCUAAAUUAAUAGUUUCAUUGAAUUGAGUUUAUUUGAUUCAAUCUUUCGACUUAGGGUUUUGCUUUUUAUUUUUUUUAUUUUCUGGAAUUAGCUAGGUCUUUUACUCUAAUCAGUUCGAUUCUGCUUUAUUGUUCGACUUAUGAUAUCUUCUUAUAGAUUAUAGUUUCAGUUUGCUGUGUUAAUAAAAGCUAACAGCUAGAAAAUUGGUAGUUACAGACUUACUGUUGAUAAGAUAUCAAAUUGGAUUAGAAACAUGUUAUAGUAGAAGCCAUUGAACCAGCUAAAAGGUAAAAGGGCAUUAACGGACAAGUUCAUCUUAAUUCAAAUAACUAGCUUUGAGCAAGGGAUAGACUAGACAAAAACAUUGCACGUAGAUGAAAUUAUUUUGACCUAGUUGGUUAGCAUAUCUGGUUAUAUAUUGUUUGGUUUAUUGGAGUAAGUUGUAUGUUUUGAUCGGGUCGGUGUGGAUUAUCAAGUAUAUCUUAUUUGGUGGGAAGUAGGUCAGUAGUUUGAUCACCCAGCCGAAUUGCAAAUGCUAACUAAGGAGUCAAUUAUACACAGAGGAUUAACCUAAGUUAACCUGUGCUUACUAUUGGGUUGUUGUUCUUGCUACUUGACUGAUAUGUCGUUCUGCUAGGCUUGUGCUGGUUGUUUUGGUAUAGUCUUAAAAAUUCAGUUUAGGUUUUGUUCUUUGUUUGGAUUCAAUCUUGCUUAUGUUGGUCAUCUCAGUUCAGUAGUGACAUGUGGGGUAGGUUUUUGAUAUCAGCUCAAUGAUAACCAAAUUUCCCUUCAUAAAGUCUCUAGCUCAAUCUCAGUUGGUCAUCAUUGAGCUGUCGUGCAAAAUAUGUUGGUCAUCUCAGUUUUGCUUAACUGCGUCUUACUUCUGCUAGAGACAUGACGGGGGAGUAUGUACUUGGCUGCAUCAACUCCUCCUAAUGAAUCUGGUAAUCAUUCUCAUCAUAGUACCCCCUAUCCUACUGUCACGCUGCAAGCUUUUGGAAGCAGAACAAGGUUCCACAGUGACCCGAAGCAAUCCGCAACUCGGCAAGCCUGCCACAACUCUAGGAAACAGAAUUGGACAAAGCAAAAAAGAGCCAACAAGUCAGCAAAAGUCAACUUUUGUCAAAUAAUAAGCCGAUUUUCUUGGGUUGGGUUCUAAUUUUUUGUAUGCUGGUUUGUGCUAUGUUAUUGGUGUUGCAAAUGCGCUACUUCUAUAUGUGAUCCUAAAGUUGACAUGCGUUGACUUUGUUUAUCUAGAUGUUACUUUGGAUUGGCACAAGGCAUAGCUAAAGGAGGGUUACCGUCUGCUGGGAUUGCAGUUUACAAGGCCUGUAAUUUAGAUUAUUGUGCUGGUUCCACUAUAUUAAAGGCUAUUGAUGAUGCUGUCAAAGAUGGUGUCGACAUAAUAUCAAAAUCACUUGGCAUGGAUAUAAUCCUACAAGCUGAUUUUUGAGUGAUCCAAUAGCCAUUGCAGCAUUUCAUGCUAAUCAAAAUGGGGUUAUGGUGGUAUGCUCAGCAAACAGAUUAACAAUCUUUACUUUUAAGAUUUUCUUAUUUACUUUUGAGUUUCUUUAAUUUACUUUUGAGUUUAUUAUCUACUUUUAAGUCUCUUUACGCAUGUA